rnacentral:rRNA from 1 species
CCUACGGGAGGCAGCAGUGAGGAAUAUUGGUCAAUGGUCGGGAGACUGAACCAGCAAAGCCGCGUGAGGGAGGAAGGUACAGAGUAUCGUAAACCUCGUUUGUCAGGGAACAAAGACUGGUACGCGUCCCCGGAUGAGUGUACCUGAAGAAAAAGCAUCGGCUAACUACGUGCCAGCAGCCGCGGUAAUACGGAGGGUGCGAGCGUUAUCCGGACUUAGUGGGUGUAAAGGGUGCGGAGGCGGUCUGGUAAGUCAGCGGGCAAAGCCCGGGGCUCAACCCCGGGCCUGCGGUUGAAACUGGCAGUCGGGAGUUGGAGAGAAGUAUGCGGAAUGCGCGGUGUAGCGGUGAAAUGCAUAGAUA